rnacentral:lncRNA from 1 species
GACUUUUUCUGGUGUUAUUGGAGACUUUUGGAGACUAUGACGUGAAAGCACGUAUCGUUCCUACUCUUCUCAACGAGCAGCGAGUGCUGCCGUGGGCCCCACCCCCCACAUCCCAUCCCAAAGCACUCCCAGGCGGCCCAAAAUAAUGAAAGUACAAAAGGUGUGGUACUGAUCCUCUACAUAGUCAAAGCAGACGAGUAUAAUAAAACAGGGCUCGACGACAACGAUGGCAGUGACCCCAUCCCCACUACCACCCUUACUGCCACUCCUGCUACCCCCUCAGCCGCUCAGAACAAUCCUACAGUUACUACCUUGGUCCAGCCAGACUACCGUGACUCUAACCUUACCAACAACAUCACCGUCGGCAGUAGAGAUGGCAACCAAACCCAAGACCAGAACCAGAACCAAGACCAGAACGAAGAUGUGGGUGUUGGAACCUCGCGGGACGACGUGACAACGGUUGCCGCGGAAACCACGCCGUCGGGGGCGACCAACGGCCGAUCUGAGGAAGUGCAACUUGACGGUACCGUGUCGAAUGACGCGAUUACAACAUCAUCACCAGUGCUGAUAGAAUCUACUGGAAGAGGAAGCAGUGCUACAGCAGGCUAUGUAAUCCUGUUCCUCAUAUUGUUAGUCAUUGUCUGUCUGGUGGUGGUUCUCUAUUUCCAGAGGAAGAAGUCCAGGAAGUAUUCGUUUGACCUUGCGGGUAACGAUCACGACACCCCCCUCACCUGCGUGGAACAAGCCGGAACCUUCGAACCCAACGAGAAAGCCGGAGGUUUUGACUACGUGAUAGAGAGCGGUGGUGAUGACCACCAGGCUAUGGGCCCUGUGGCCAAUGGCUCAGCUGGGGAGGCGAGGUCCGCUGGAGAGAACGGAGAGAAGCAGGGUCAUGGUGAUAGUGAUGGAGACAGCUUCGACAACUUCUGUGGCCAUGCGAUCACGCUGACUCCGACCGUAAAGAGGGUGGGCUUUAGCCUGGACAUGAGUGACAGGCAGUCGGACAAAUCAGACAACGGGGAGCAGAAUGGGAACAACAACAACGUUGCCGUGGGGAUGACCCCUGAGCCGCCGGGCCUGACCUUUGACCCUGUAGGUCCAGGUGACGUCUUCACUGAAAUCAGCCUGGAUAUAUAGAAGACGCACACACAUUGUUGUAAAAUUGUAAUGUUCUGUUGUGGUUGAUUUAUAGAUGAAUGUAAAAAGCUUCAAAUAACUUUUACAUCCCUAUUUUUUAUGCUGUAAAUUUUUGAUACCGUAAAUUUUUGAUACUGUAAGUUUUUGAUACCGUAAAUUUUUGAUACCGUAAAUUUUUGAUACUGUAAGUUUUUGAUACCGUAAGUUUUUGAUACCGUAAAUUUUUGAUACUGUAAGUUUUUGAUUCCGUACAUUUUUGAUACCGUAAAUUUUUGAUACUGUAAGUUUUUGAUACCGUAAAUUUUUGAUACCGUAAAUUUUUGAUACUGUAAGUUUUUGAUACCGUAAAUUUUUGAUACCGUAAGUUUUUGAUUCCGUAAAUUUUUUUCGUAUUUCAAGAUAAAAAACGAAUGUUUAUAGUUUUUUUGUUAUUCAUUUUAAUAAUGUCUUACGCAUUGAUAAUAAUCGCAGGAGACGCCAAGUCACACGGCGAUUGUUUUUAGAAUAAAACAUACUUCACAGAA